CCUGGUGCUGCCUAGCAACUUCAUAACAUUCUGGUCCCAGAGAACAGGAGAGCCAACCAAGACUGGAGGAGGUGGGGUGCCUUUUUUCCAUUAACCAGACUGCAGAUUGCAGGGGCAGAAACAACAAAGAGAAAGGAAUGACAAGAGUCAGAGAGGAAGAAGCGGAAACAAUGAAGAGGUGAUGAGGGAGGAAUAAUGAAGGAUGAGAAAGGAAUGAUGCCCAAAGCACUGAAAGAGAUGCUACUCUAUACACCAAGAAAGCAAAUGUAUGAAAAAUAAAGGGCACCCAUCAUCCUCAUCUGCUGUAAAUCAGCCUCUCCCUCAUGGCAUCGCUGGAACUACGCCCUUUGCACCGGCUGAGAAUCUUGGACCCCCUAUUUUUACGUCACACCGCUUUCAGAGCCAGAUUUUCUGAGACAAAAUUUUUUGUGCACUUAACAAAUGUCAGAUGUGCAUCUGACAAUACCUUAUUUGAAUAUACACAAAUACCAGAUUUGCACAUACACAUCUUGACAUUGCGUACAUUAGGUAGGUGCACACAGACAUAUGACACACUUAUCCUUGACUAGGUUGCUUGUGGUGCUGUUAAUGUGCUCUCAGCUAUUUGAGUAUGCUACAAACUAAGGAAGACUACAGUGCAUCUAUAUUAUGCAAACGUCAAAUAGUAAGAAAGUCAUAUACUGUAUUUUUUUCCUCAUUUGCUAUUUGUUAAAUUAGGAAUGUGUGCAUUUGUUGAUUUUAAUGUUACAGGGAAAUGAAAUUACCACCCAAUGUAUAGAGAUAAAGUAAGAUGUUUUCCCUUGUUUGUAUUAUGACUGCAAUGAUUUUGUGUAAUCACUGCAGCAAGUUGUGAAAGAGGCAGAAAAUGAAUAAAAUCUGCCAAGUGCACAGUGAGAAUAAAGUCAUUGCUGUGAAUGUGA